rnacentral:rRNA from 1 species
UACGGGGGGGCAAGCGUUGUUCGGAAUUACUGGGCGUAAAGGGUUUGUAGGUGGCCCGCUAAGUCACACGUGAAAUCCCUCAGCUUAACUGGGGAACUGCGUGUGAGACUGGCAGGCUCGAGGGCAGGAGAGGAACGCGGAAUUCCAGGUGUAGCGGUGAAAUGCUUAGAUAUCGUCAAGAACACCUAUAGCGAAGGCAGCUUACUAGGCUGUAACUGACGCUGAGGCACGAAAGUGUGGGAUCAAACAGG